GUGUUGAAUAAAUCUUAAUCAUGUUUUGGAUAGUAUAUUGUUAAAAAUAAUAAUAAUCCUCUCUAAAUAAAGUGGUAUUUUGUCAACGUUUUAUUUUGUGUUGAAUAACUCUUAAUCAUGUUUUGGUUAGUGUAUUGCUAUGAUUGCUAUAACUUUGUUUCAUUGACUUGUUUCAAAAUGAAGUGAGAUUCUGACUGUUCUUUU
rnacentral:lncRNA from 1 species